rnacentral:rRNA from 1 species
GGAGGGUGCAAGCGUUAUCCGGAUUCACUGGGUUUAAAGGGUGCGUAGGUGGGCAGGUAAGUCAGUGGUGAAAUCUCCGGGCUUAACCCGGAAACUGCUAUUGAUACUAUCUGUCUUGAAUACCGUGGAGGUGAGCGGAAUAUGUCAUGUAGCGGUGAAAUGCUUAGAUAUGACAUAGAACACCAAUUGCGAAGGCAGCUCACUACGCGAAUAUUGACACUGAGGCACGAAAGCGUGGGGAUCAAACAGGAUUAGAUACCCUGGUAGUCCACGCCCUAAACGAUGGAUACUCGACAUACGCGAUACACAGUGUGUGUCUGAGCGAAAGCAUUAAGUAUCCCACCUGGGAAGUACGACCGCAAGGUUG